rnacentral:misc_RNA from 1 species
AUUUGGGAAAGAAAAAAUACAGUAUAAAAGUUGUCUCAAAGUGUAACAAGAAGUACUAAACCAUGCCACAGCAAUCAAAUUGCAAAAUGUUUUAUAGCAUAAUUCUGAAGAAGGAAUUUAUGUUACUGUGAAGCUAGAUUCAAUAAGCGAUAAACAAAAUAUCUAAUAUCUCCAACCUAAUUGACCAUUUUUUUGGAAUGCAUAAAACCUAUUUAUCCCCGAACUUUCGCAAUUGUACACUAUUUAACAUAAAUGCAGCACAUCUGAACAGGAAAACCUACCUAAAGGUACCCAGCAUAAAGCCAGAAGAUCGCCCCAGGUAUUGCACCUUGAGCCAACUAAAAACCCCUAUCAUUUCCAUACAAUUCUUAACCAUUAUACUAUCAUCCACGUCAAGUGCCGGUACCCAGCCCACUUAGCAGCAAGAUGAAUUCCGAUGGCUAAGGCUGCACAUAACAAUGGCACUGGAACCCUUUGAACUGUUGCCGCAACUUCAUCUUCUUCUUUUCCUUUGGAAAGCUUCCAUGAAUGGUGAUAAAUAGCUAGAGCCAGAUAGGAAAGCAUCACUAAAACUCUAACCCAGGGUUCUCCAACGGCAGCCAAUACAGCAGCUGCAGGCAAAGCAGAUGUUACAUGAUCUCUCUUUUUAACUAAUCGAGAGAAACCAUAAAAACCCAGUAGAAGCGUCCAGAAGAGUGGCUCAGAGAUGUAGUUCCUCACAGCUGCAUAGCCAACCAGGCCAGAUAUUGUAAGAAGAUAUGGUUGGCUGAUUAUAGAGUUUGGAGCAGCAGCUUCAGCAACAGCAAGAACUGCUGAUGCAAGCAAAAUAAUCAUAGUCAACUCUGGAACAGGAGCAUAUGCAACUAUACCAGAAUAGAAAGCCCGAACUGUGUAUAUUAGAGUCUCUAUGCAUCUGAUCAAAGAAGUGAUUGGAUCCCCAAUGAAAUGGAAGAUUACAGCCAACAAAAGUUUCAGAAGGUAUCCCACAAAACUAACAACUGCCAGUACGGCCUUCUUCCAGUUGGCUAGUUCAAAUAACACAGCCCUCCAUGCAUAGACAAGGAAACCCAGUGCCACAAACCAUGGCCAUGUAACAGGAGGAUCAGGCGCUUCCUUAGUCAAGUACCUGAACCUAUCAGGCAUAGUACUCUCUCCACGAGCCAACCUUUCAGCAUCAUCAUCAACACUAGUCUUGCUCUCUCCUUGUCCAUUCUCUGCUACAUUCAGGCAAAACCCUAAAGUUCUAGAGUAGAAAAGGCCAAACCUUUUCCGGGUGGGUUGGGGAUUGAAGGGUUGGGUUUUGAUGGACGAAGAACGAAAUGAAACAGUAUCGUUACGAAUUCGAAGGUUGAGACGAUGAAGUGAGAGAAUUUUGAAGGUGGGAGAAGGGAGAGUGGCGAUAGGCAUCGACAUGGCUAUGGCAUUAGAGAGGUUUUGCCAUUACCAGUGAAGAUAGUGGAGACAGAGAGAGUGCUGCGGGUUUUAGCCGUACAGAGGCAAGUAUGGGCGGG